GGCUGAAACACAUUAUCGCCUUUCUCAAGUGGCCCAUCAAGAGACACUAGCUUAUGCGCGUGACCCCGACCGCCUCCGCCUUUGGGAUUUUUUUCCUCUGUUUGCCGAAAAGGAGAUUCCCUGUCGGAAUUUUACCGCUUUUCUACGAGAAAAAUGACGUAAAAAUUGAUUUUAAACAGCGGUUGACAUGCUUCGACGUACGGCAAUUGAAUACUUUGAAUUUUAUUGUCAGGAAUUGCGCCAAGCGCGCGACACUUCUUUACUAUUUCGGAUAGUGUCUGGAACGCAUACGAACAAAACGCCGCUAUUCGGAUAUAACGAUGGAUUAUUUUGGACCAAACCAACAUUUGUUAUUGAAGUAGACGUCCUGGGUGUGCAUUCUGACGAAGACAACAAAAGGAAGUGAUGUCACUGAGUACUACCCCUAUAUAUAUAGGACCUUCCACACCCCACCUGGGAUAUGGAUGCCUGAUGAAGACCUAAGGAGGGGGAGCUCAACCAUUUCCAGGCCCAGGGACAUGUACAAUACUAGUCCGUCGCAACCUGAAUGCCAGAACUGAACAAGAACCUGACACUCUCAGCAUACAGCGGGACAAACACCUAUCUGGAGGUGACAGCAUUCACUCCCAAAUAUGCCCCCCUGAACACAACUGUGACAAAACAACCAGCAAAAUUGGGUCGCAACUCCUGCAGCUCGGUCGCAUAAUGGGUCUGUACAGAGUCAAUGGUCGGCUUCGACGGGACUCUUAUGGUAGGUACAGCUACAGCUCAUCCCUUGGCAGCAGUACUGCAAUAUUACUUUAUCAAUGACCUCAACUCAGAAUCUUUCAGAGCGUUCGGUCAGGCCACUGACACCCCUAUCAGAUCACAGCAAAAUUUGUCUACUUGAACAAAGCAAU
rnacentral:lncRNA from 1 species